GACAUGGGGUGUGAGCGCUAUCCACGUUGAUUGGGUGUAAAGGGUGCGUAGGUGGUUAAGAUAAUUUUUUUUACAGAGUUAUAAUAUAAACUUAUACUAGAAUAUAUAAGAAGAUGACGGUGCUGUUAAUUUAGCAUUAAAAUGCCAAGAAAUUAAUGGCAUCUCCUAAGGCCACGGCAGUUUUCUAUUAUAUAUUGACACUGAGGCACUAAAGUAUGGUAAUCGAACAGGAUUCGAGACCCUGGUAGUCCAUACCCUGAAUGAUGAGUAUUAAAUUUUUUAUAUUUUUAAGCUAACGCGUAAAUACUCCACCUGGGGAUAACAGUCGCAAGGGUAAAACUUAAAAGAAUUGGCGGGAAUUUAAUGAAACGGUGAAACACAUAUCUUAAUUUGAUAAUACACCAAAAACCUUACCAGUGUUAUAUAUAUUUAUAUAAAUUUUGCAUACGAGUAUAGAUAUAUACUGAGGUCCUGCAUGGCUGUCAUAGGUUCGUGUUGUGAGAUGUUAGGUUAAGUCCUAAACGAACGAAAUUCCUCCUACUUUGAGUGAUUUUAAGUAGGUAUUAUYUAGUUUUYUAUUAAACUAUUUAAUUAACAAAGGAUUUAAGUCAAGUCCGUAUGAGCUUAUAUACMUUGGGCUGAAUAUGUGUUACAAAGGUAGUUWCAAUAAGAUACAAUAGUGAAARCUGGAGUAAAACUUUAAAAAUUAUCAUAGUUYGGAAUAUUUUUUGAAAAAAAAAUAUAAAGAUGGAAUCGUUAGUAAUYGUAUAUUAGAAUGAUACGGUGAAUUAAAAGUUAAAUUUUGCMCACMCCGCCCAUCMCGCUAGAAGAUUGAGGAAUAGUGAGAGCCAAGUCACUUUUAUUUUUAAAUAAUUUUUUUUUUGAAAAAGAUUGUUGCGAAUAAUAAACCGCUACCGUUAUUCCAACAGGUUAGAGCGAAGUUG
rnacentral:rRNA from 1 species